ensembl:lncRNA
AUUAGACCACAAUUCAGUGAAAGUGCAGGCUGGGCUGGCCGGCUCUUAGUGCAGAGACUCGAAUCAGGAAACCUAGCAUCAGCCUUUGCAAACAUUUAUCCACAGAGCGGUAAGCUCCAGCCCUAAAGGCAACACAUGCAACACAUUUACUGCUGGAGUGAAUAAGGGUUGGCAGAACUAGCUCAUUGCAUACUUUGGAAAGCAAGGAGAAUUUAAAGCCCAAAUCUUUGUUCAUGAAAGUUCUACAGUUGACUUUGGUGGAUUUUGGGUCAUGCUGUUGGACAUAGCCUGAGAUAUACGGGAAGCUGCACGAAAAAAAAAGAGUUUUUGUCUUCUCUCUCUGUUUCAAGAAAGCAAUGAAAGGCAAGAGGUACCACUAGGAGCUGGCAUGGAUGUGGACUGCACAUAAAAAGAUCAGCAUCUGAUCAGCAUCAUAAAAUGGUAGCUGAUGAUUGGCAACAAACAAAAAACGGAGCUUCCCUGGAGGUGUACCAGUUCCAUGAGCCUCCUGCCAGCUGAGCAGCACUGAUGCCAACAGUGGAGAAUAACAUCUAGAAGAUCAAUGAGGAAGGAUAUUUUACAGAGGUGUUAAAGAAAAGGAUAUAAAAAGGACAAUGAAGGUAAAGAAGACAUCAAGACAAUUUGUACCAGAGGGGAAGCAUCAUGAGCAAUUCCAUGUGGACCAACUGUACACUCAAAGAAAUUAGGAAAUAAAAGAGAACUGAGAGUACUAGCCAUGAAACCAUGGAGUGGGAGGAGCAUUCAAUAAGAUGAAUGUGGAUAUGCCACACAACUCCAGUUCCAGAGACAUGGAUAGUUUUUGGAGUCUUCCUUCUCUGUGUGUAUGGCUGAAACUGCAAAAUACAAGAGACAAGAAACAGAGUUCAGUGAAGCAGUACUCAGCUUUGUGUGGUAAUAUGAGGGCCAUGCUGAAGGCAGAAGAGUCCUUGAUGGUUCCGGCUGUCUGGCUUUCUAGGGUAGAGCUGUGGGCAAUCAAUUAACUCCACCAGUCCGAAAAGCAGAAAUGCAUGCAAGCAGACAUCAAAUCCUGCUUACAAGCAAUGCAAACUGAAUACAGCAACUUUGGAGAUUAAUGUUCCUGGACCAGGAGGGACACCAGCAGUGUGUUACUAUCUGGCAGAUCUACAGCAUAGUACAUGGAGAUGCUACCAGCCCCACCCAAAAUUACCUGUUAUGUAACCAAGUGAGAUGCAUUAAGAUCAUCUCCAACAUCGCCAUCUCCUGACUUUGAAUGAUAGUGCAUGUUGCUUCUGUGACAACUGGUAUUCAAGAAAUGAAAAAAUGGCACUCAAGAUUUCUGUUCUGAAUUUAAAAAAAUAAUAAUAAUCAAUUUUGCACUGAAUUUUUCUUCUUUGUAUUCUGAAAUGUUUUGUAGCUGAUUAUCAAAUAAUUUAUCUUUGAUUUUGUAGUUAUUGUUUGCGUAAGACCCCAUUAACUCUUACAGGGUAGGUGGGCAACUGAAAACGUCAGCAUAUAUAGAAGAAAUUCAAGAACUUCAAGCACUGUAAGCUGUAGAGAGAGUUCCAAGUAACUCUUCAGCAACCUCUGCAAAGUUCCUCUCUUCUGGAAAAUGAAUACUAACCCAGGACAAGAGAAGACUGACGCCUGAUCAAGCCGUGGAAAUCUCCCUGAUGACUUCACUGGGCUCUUGCAUGUACAUAUAGAGCAGUCAUCUCCAUCCACUUACAGUCCUGCACUGAUGAUGUUCACUUGAACUGUGAAAUGGUUAGCAUUUAAAAGUUGUCCCUUCUACGUGAAUCCUGCUGUGCCUCACGUUUUAUAAUGCCGAGUGUUGUUAAAUGUUUGAGCAAUAUUGCAAUUGUUUCUAUUUGUUGAAUUUAUUUGAAAGCUAUUAUCUGUGACUUGUUAUUAUGCCAUGUGAAGAGAUUCCAACCCUUUUUU